CCGUACCGAGCGCAACCCUUGUCCUUAGUUACCAGCACGUUAUGGUGGGCACUCUAAGGAGACUGCCGGUGACAAACCGGAGGAAGGUGGGGAUGACGUCAAGUCAUCAUGGCCCUUACGGCCAGGGCUACACACGUGCUACAAUGGUCGGUACAAAGGGUUGCCAAGCCGCGAGGUGGAGCUAAUCCCAUAAAACCGAUCGUAGUCCGGAUCGCAGUCUGCAACUCGACUGCGUGAAGUCGGAAUCGCUAGUAAUCGUGAAUCAGAAUGUCACGGUGAAUACGUUCCCGGGCCUUGUACACACCGCCCGUCACACCAUGGGAGUGGGUUGCUCCAGAAGUAGCUAGUCUAACCUUCGGGGGGACGGUUACCACGGAGUGAUUCAUGACUGGGGUGAAGUCGUAACAA
rnacentral:rRNA from 1 species